rnacentral:rRNA from 1 species
GACGAACGCUGGCGGCGUGCUUAACACAUGCAAGUCGAGCGAGCAGAUUUCCUUCGGGGAUGAAGCUAGCGGCGGACGGGUGAGUAACACGUGGGCAACCUGCCUUAUAGAGGGGGAUAGCCUUCCGAAAGGAAGAUUAAUACCGCAUAACAUCAGAUUAUCGCAUGGUAGACUGAUCAAAGGAGCAAUCCGCUAUAAGAUGGGCCCGCGUCGCAUUAGCUAGUUGGUGAGGUAACGGCUCACCAAGGCGACGAUGCGUAGCCGACCUGAGAGGGGGAUCGGCCACAUUGGGACUGGGAAACGGCCCAGACUCCGACGGGAGGGAGCAGUGGGGAUAUUGCACAAUGGGGGAAACCCUGAUGCAGCAACGCCGCGUGAGUGAUGAAGGCCGUCGGGUUGUAAAGCUCUUUGAUCAGGGACGAUAAUGACGGUACCUGAAGAACAAGCCACGGCUAACUACGUGCCAGCAGCCGCCGUAAGAC